rnacentral:rRNA from 1 species
CCCAGACUCCUACGGGAGGCAGCAGUGGGGAAUAUUGGACAAUGGGGGGAACCCUGAUCCAGCGACGCCGCGUGAGUGAAGAAGUAUUUCGGUAUGUAAAGCUCUAUCAGCAGGGAAGAAAGAAAUGACGGUACCUGACUAAGAAGCCCCGGCUAACUACGUGCCAGCAGCCGCGGUAAUACGUAGGGGGCAAGCGUUAUCCAGAUUUACUGGGUGUAAAGGGAGCGUAGACGGCGAUGCAAGUCUGAAGUGAAAGGCGGGGGCCCAACCCCCGGACUGCAUUUGGAACUGCGUGGCUUGAGUGUCGGAGAGGCAGGCGGAAUUCCUGGUGUAGCGGUGAAAUGCGUAGAUAUCAGGAGGAACACCGGUGGCGAAGGCGGCCUGCUGGACUGCAACUGACGUUGAGGCCCGAAAGCGUGGGGAGCAAACAGGAUUAGAUACCCGAGUA